rnacentral:rRNA from 1 species
AGCAGCCGCGGUAAUUCCAGCUCCAAUAGCGUAUAUUAAAGUUGCUGCAGUUAAAAAGCUCGUAGUUGAAUUUCGGGGUCAAUAUGUUGGUCGUGCCUUGGUACGUACUAGCUUAUUGAUUUCUCCUUUCUGACGAACCAUGAUGUCAUUAAUUUGGUGUCAUGGGGAAUCAGGACUGUUUACUUUAGAAAAAAUUAGAGUUAGUUUAAAGCAGGCUCGCGCUUGAAUAUAUUAGC